GGAUUGCAAAGUGCAGGGCGACGCUCAGCCGGCCUCCCGGGGUUACUCCGGCUCCAAGGCGCUUCCAGGGAAGGCAGGACCCAGCAGCCGCCAGGUGCAACCAGCAGCCCCGCCCUCCUCCCCAGCGCCGCGCCCUUUCUCCGCCUUCCCGGUGCGGCUGCUCCUUCUGCUUCCCUUUUCUUUCCGUUUGCCGAAAGUCGCAACGAGAGGGGCUCUGCCGCUCCAACCUCGAUCGCUUGAUGGUGAACAACCGUGGCUGCUCACCGCAGGAACGAAGAAGAGCGGCCGAAAGCGUAUGCAGCGUUUUGAUCUGAAAUAUUAAAAGAUCACCGUAAGGCCGCUAAGCACCUUGGCCUAACAAGAAAUAAAGGCAGUGCUUCGUGAAAUAUAGAAGAAAUCUUCCAGCUGGGCAGAAAAAACAUCUUCAAACUACUUUUCAGUAAACAUAAUUAUUUAGGAUCUGCUUCUAUAUUGCUUAAAAGAGAUCAGCAUGUAAAGAAUUAGAAAAAGCCUAUAGUGCAAAUGUCCUUCCUGUCAUUUUACUUAAAUACAAUUGCUUGCACAGGAACUCUGAUUCAAGAGUUCUAAGAGAGUGCAGUCUAUAUUUUUAUUUACUAAACAGAUUUAUAUAGCCACUCAACUCACACACAAUUACUCCAGGCAGCAUACAAAGAUACUCUCUCCAAUCCUUGUGUGUUUGGAGAGCCGCACUGACAUUAGAUUUUAGUAUAUUUAUUUGGUAUGCACUUAUAUUUAAACGCAAUGUAAGACCGUUAUUUCUACAUCUGAAAGGAUCCUUUAUACAAUAGUCCCAUACCAGGAGCUUUGUUACAACAGAAGUGUGAGAAACAUGACUUGUGGCUUAGGUGCAAUCACUCACUCACAAAUUUGUCAUCAAAGCACUGGAGAGAGAAGAACACGAGUUGAGAGAAAGGAAACAACACCAAUUGGGGUUAAUGAAUUGGGAGUCAGGACUAAGCCAAACCAGCAUUAUUGAAGAUAAACCAAGGAAGAGCACUCAAGAAUUUAUAUAUGUGAUCCUUUAAAAGACAUUAUACCCAACUCUUGAACUGAUAAUACCGUAGUAAUAAGCCCAUUUGCUUAGCAGCAGCAUAAUCUACGAAAAGCAUGUAUUUGCUGUAAUUUUAUAGUCAUGUUUUCCAAGGACUAAUGCAUGAAGUAUAAUCUUCAAUAAUUUCUUCACCUCUUACAUCUCAGAGAAACUAAGCAAUAAAUGUCCUUCAAAAACAUAAAAAAACAAAA